rnacentral:rRNA from 1 species
GAAAGUGGGGGCAACCCUGCGAUUAAAGUGGCCAACGGGUGAUUAACACAUCUUAACGUACCCAGGAGUGGGGGACAACCUCGAGAAAUCUAGGCUAAUACCGCAUACUUCCUGAGGGAGAAAGCGGGGGAUUCGCAAGGACCUCGCGCUCAUGGAGCGGCCGAUGUCGGAUUACCUAGUUGGCGGGGUAAUAGCCCACCAAGGCGACGAUCUGUAGCUGGUUUGAGAGAACGACCAGCCACACUGGGACUGAGACACGGUCCAGACUCCUACGGGAGGCAGCAGUGGGGAAUUUUGGACAAUGGGCGCAAGCUUGAUCCAGCCAUGCCGCGUGAGUGAAGAAGGCCUUCGGGUUGUAAAGCUCUUUCGGCCGGAAUGAAAUCGGCAACGUGAAUAACGUUGCUGGAUGACGGUACUGGAAGAAGAAGCACCGGCUAAUUACGUGCCAGCAGCCGCGGUAAUACGUAGGGUGCGAGCGUUAAUGGGAAUUACUGGGCGUAAAGCAGUGCGCAGGGGGUUCUGCAAGUCAGAUGUGAAAUCCCCGGGCUUAACCUGGGAACUGCGUUUGAAACUACGGAGCUGGAGUACGGCAGAGGGGGGUGGAAUUCCACGUGUAGCAGUGAACUGCGUAGAUAUGUGGAGGAACACCGAUGGCGAAGGCAGCCCCGUGGGCCGAUACUGACGCUCAGGCACGAAAGCGUGGGGAGCAAACAGGAUUAGAUACCCUGGUAGUCCACGCCCUAAACUAUGAGAAAUAGUUGUCGGGAAAGCAAUUUCUUGGUAACGAAGCUAACGCGUGAAGUUCGCCGC